GCCAAAAGGGCUGAAGCCUGUAAUCAGUCCUCAUGCAGAGUAGCACUUAUGCACACAAGCGGGCCCACAGAUUUUAAUUGAACUAUUUGAAUAAGAGCUAUUCAGCAUAUAGGAGGGUUGCAGAAUAUUGUCCACUAUGUUUGUUCCUUGGCAAAAGAUGUUGACUCCUAUGAGUUCAGCAGAGAGGCAACAGUUUCCCUUUAAGAGAGUAGCCGUUCAGCUUGAAAUAAGGGUUACACUUUACCUUUUUUACAGGAUUGUGGUAAAACCACAUACACAUUGCACCCGAUAUUUUUACUAGUCCCUACCAUUUUGCUUCAGGUAUGCUAGUGUAAUAGCUGUAGGACAUUUCUGAAACAGAUAGUGUUUCACAGCCAUUUCACCCAGGUAUCAAGAAUGAGACAAGAUACAUGGAAGUAAAGAAAACGGCAUUGUGAUUGUAAUUUAAGAGAAUUUUAUAUCUGCUUGGAAGAAGAGUAAGUGACUCCAUGAGUUACAAGACAGAAGAGAAUGUGGUGUAUUGAUUGCGUCAGUAAAAAAUUGCUCCAAGAUUUUUCACUUGCUGCUUGAACUGUUGAAAUUCUGCUGCACGAGGAGAGACAGUAACAUCUUCAGUGUAAAACCUGUCCCUUUUCAUUGAAAUGUAUGGGAGUUUUUCUGUUGACUUAACUGAAAGUAGACUUAGACACUGUUUGACAUUGCUCCCUGUUAUGGAAUAACAUGAAACUAUGUAUGCGUGGGUCUGUGUUGGCCAUAUAAGAAAGACAGUUCCCUUUGCCUGACCACGUGCAGAGGACAUGUAGUAAAGAAAAUGCAGAGACAUACAGCUAGGGCAAAGCUUGUUCUCAGCUGCAGCCACAGUGAUCUAGCACUAUCUCAAGUUUUCAGAGCAUCUAUCAUGUCUGUUAGGCUAUGUGUCUACAUAUAUCUUUAAACUGUGUUAUACACAAGCUGUGUCAGAAAGCAAGAUGAAUGUGAUAACGAUUGCCAUUGCUGGCUCUACUGUAUAUUGCUUAAGCCAUUGCCCUCCCUUGCACCCCCUAAGACCCAAGCCCAACACAUUUAACCUUUCCUGUGGUAAAAGACUCAAUGUGAUUCCACUUUCUCCUCUUAUAUAUAGACUAAAGUAUUUCUUUUGAAGACAGUUUUAAGAUGAUGAAGCACAAUUUUGCAUUGGUGUUUGCACUCUCCAGGGCCUUGCACAACACACCCUUCCCUGUGCUGACGGAGUGCUUCAGGAAGGGACGGGCCUCUGAAGCCAGCUGUGGACUACGUGCAUGAAUGAGGAACUGAGAAGAGAAAAAGCUGAAAAGAAUGUGAACAUAGAGAUCGCUCACCAGGAUACCCAUGCAUCCAAAAUCCGUUGAGUUGUAAGUUGGGUAAAUCAGAUUUUGAGACGAGAAGGAAAAUAUUGGUGGACCUCCAAUUACUUUUCACACAGCUAUUUUCAGGAGCCAUGAUAUGUGCAUACAUAUAUGAGAAAACAGUUUUUUGUUCAUCAGAGGACAGUUAUCCAUAAUAUAUUCACAGGCCUGCAGAGCCGUGAGCAGAUCCAGGCAAGCCUCCCACUGGAAGUGUAUUCUUUGCUUGAGCCAUGUCCAAGGUGUCAGACUCCCUACAGUUACAGUACGGCGACUUGAUACUGAGGACACAACUUCCUGCUUCUCUGACAGUGGCUUCAUUGUGUGUGCUAAGCAUUGUAAUAAGUGGACCUGCAUCACAGAAUCACAGAAUGGAUGAGGUUGGAAGGGACCUCUGGAGAUCAUCUAGUCCA